GCCUGGGGAGUACGGCCGCAAGGUUAAAACUCAAAUGAAUUGACGGGGGCCCGCACAAGCGGUGGAGCAUGUGGUUUAAUUCGAUGCAACGCGAAGAACCUUACCUACUCUUGACAUCCAGAGAAUUUAGCAGAGAUGCUGAAGUGCCUUCGGGAACUCUGAGACAGGUGCUGCAUGGCUGUCGUCAGCUCGUGUUGUGAAAUGUUGGGUUAAGUCCCGCAACGAGCGCAACCCUUAUCCUUUGUUGCCAGCGAUUCGGUCGGGAACUC
rnacentral:rRNA from 1 species